ACCCCCUCCCCGCACCCCCGGCGACAGGGGCCCGCGCGGGUGGGGGCGG
rnacentral:precursor_RNA from 1 species